AUGUACACAUACUGCUGCCUGGAGCCUGGGCAGGACGUCUGGCCUCUGCUGCAGCACCUCACCUACACCUACCUGCCCGCCCCUCCGCUGCUGCCCCCCAUUCAGGCCCACAACUUCUGCAGCCGGCCCCCGAGCCUGAGCGCGGGCGAGUGGGCGGCUCCGCGGGAAUACCACUGCUUCCACGCCACGGGCGCGACGCUAGUGGUCACGCCGCCCUUGUGGGCCUUCCCGCAGGCCUACGCCGCGGCCCUGCAACCGCCGUUCCCAGCGCCCAGCUACCCAGGGCCGUCACUGCAGGAGCCCGCAGCUGCGGGGCUGGCGGCGGUCGAGAACGGGACGCAGUGGCCUGAAGGCGGCAGCCUGCAAGCUGAGCUGCGAUGGGGCCGCGUGGAGCGUGCGCUCGGGCCGCGCCUCGAGCUGCCGGAUUUCGUGCGCCGGGAGCUGCGGCGAGCGUACGGCACGUACCCACGCACCGACGUGCGCGUCACCUAUCGCGGCGGCGAGUUCCUGCUGCAGGGCGCGCCGCGCGUGCGCGAGACCGAGUACCGUACGGAGAGGCGAGUGCUGCGCCGGCCAGCCAGCAGCUGCAGCGGUGACAGCAGCCCCGCGGGGGAAGCGGCGGAGCGCGGCCGCCGGAAGAAGAGGAAAGACUUGAGCUGAGGGCGCCGCGAGGCCCGGCGGCCGGCCAGGGUUAUUGCUGGAUGGCGGGGCAAGGGCGAGAAUGGAUCAAGGACAUCUCUGGGUCCAGACCCUUGAAGUCUCUCAACUUACCCCAUCUCGGGACUUCCCUGGUGGCGCAGUGGUUAAGAAUCCGCCUGCCAAUGUAGGGGACAUGGGUUUGAGCCCUAGUCCGGGAAGAUCCCACAUGCUGCGGAGCAACUAAGCCCAUGCACCACAACUACUGAGCCUGCGCUCUAGAGCCCGCGAGCCACAACUACUGAGCCUGCACACCACAACUACUGAGCCUGCGAGCCACAACUACUGAAGCCCGCGUGCUCUAGGGCCCACGUGCCGCAACUACUGAGCCCAUGUGCCUAGAGCCCGUGCUCUGCAACAAGAGAAGCGACUGCAGUGAGAAGCCCGCGCACCGCAACGCGAAGAGUAGCCCCCGCUCGCUGCAACUAGAGAAAGAUUGCACGCAGCAAUGAAGACCCAACACAGCCAAAAUUAAUUAAUUAAUUUUAAAAAAAGAACUAAGUACACAUCCCCAAAAAUUCCAUUCACAGGAAUUUAAAAACAAAAAAACAAAAAAAACACUUCCCCCAUCUCUGAGAAUCCGCAUUGCUCACAUUCUUCCCCCAAGUCUUCCACAUAUGCCCUGGAAAUGCCCAGAGACUGCACACAAUAUACCCCUAUCCCCCAGCUCCAGUGAGGGAGGAGGCCCCCAAUUACAGGCUUUUUGAAGGAAGUACUGCCACUCAGCUCAGUCCAACAUGCCAAUCCUUCCAAACCCCAGUGCUUGCUUCAGCCCUAAGGAUGUAAGGAAGCCCUGCAGGGAGCCUAGAUGCUUCUUUGUUUGAUCUUUUCUUUGAACUUAACCCUUAGAAGCUUAGAACUCAUAAAACAUCUGGGCUGCCAGGGACUUUACUGUUCACCUGGCCCAACCUCCUCAGUUGACCUUAUGCUGGGAAACCAAGGCCAGAGAGGAGUGACUCACCCAAUGUCACACAGUAGGUAGGAAUCCAGAGCUUCUAGAUCCCAGCAGGGCUUGGGCUACCAAACUCAUCUUGAUGGCCUUCUCCUCCUGGCCUCGCCCCAGCUUUACCCAACCCUGGCAUCUGGUCUAGAGCCCUUUGCUCAAUAAACCCUGACUGACCAAUUUUAAACCCUAUCCUACCUCCCAACUGGGUAGCUCACAUCCUACUGAAGGGAGGAUAAUAAGAAUCAUAACAGGGAGUUCCCUGGUGGCCCAGUGGUUAGGAUUUGGUGCUUUCACAGUGGAGGCCCAGGUUCGAUCCCUGGCCAGGGAACCAUCCCGCAUGCCAUGUGACAUGGCACAGCCAAAAUACAAAAAAAAAAAAAAAAAAAAUCAUAGCAAUCUCACACACUUAACUGAGAACUUACUGUGUGCAGGCAUCGUGCUAGAGCCCUGUACAAAAACUAUCAUUUAAUCUUCACAAAAACCUUGAUGUAGAUAUAAUUAUUAUUCCCAUUUAUAGAUGAGAAAACUGAGGCUGAUAGAAGUUAACAACUUACCCAAGGGUACACACAGAGAAUACACCUGGGAAAUCUGACUGUAGCCUUAACAUCUAGGCCAAACUGCCUCUUCAUACACGAGACACACUCAGCAAGAUACAAGGAACGUUUAUUGAACAGCCACUCUGUGUAGGACACAGGACUAGACACUAUGGGGCUCAUGAAUCAAGCCUCACUGGAAGCAGAGUGUGGAGGAUUUGUAGGAGAUCAUAUGCAUCAUUGAGGGGUUGGAGAGGAUUCUUGUAAGAGGCAUCUGAGAGAGGCUUUGAAGGAUGUAUAGGAUUCCAGCAGAUAGUGAUGGAAUGGAGGUGUCCCAGGAAGAACUGAGGAGGGAUCAGCAUGAAUAAAAGCAUGGCAGCAGGAACAGGAAGUAGCAGGGUUUCAUUGGAAGACAGGUUAUAACCAGGGAGCAAUGGAAGAUCAGGCUUGAAAGCUAAGUGGAGGCCAUACUUUGAAAGACUAAUGGCAAGGUGAGGAGUUUUGGGGAGCCAUUGAAGUCUUUGACAAGAAGAGUAACUCGAAGUUAUUAAAAGUUCUGGCAGGUGGCAGCACCUGGCUAGGACGCUGUGAGCCUGAGACAGCAGGUCCCCCAUGACCUCAGUAUUGACAGUACAGCACAGCCGGGCACCAGAACUGAGUCCCCAGGGCAUUUGCUAGAGCUCACAGCCUAUGGAAUUCAGUUCUCAGAGCCAGAUGGCCGAAGUUCUCUUAGCCUUGAUGCUGCCCUCCUGUGAUCCCUUCUGUGAAUUU